AUCAUUUUUAUUAAAAGUACGUUAUAGGAGAGAGACGAAAAUCUGAAUAUGUUUUUAUCGAACUUUUUAUUUUAAUAUUUUAAUAUUUUAAUAUUUUAAUAUAGCAUAGAUAAACACGAAGAAAGUAAGCGUCUUAAAAAUAGCUAAUAGAUUGAUCAAGUUAACCCCAACUUGAUCCCAAUCAAGUUUUGUGAAAUACCAAAGGUAUAUCUAAUUAUUUAAAAAGCAAUAUUGUAAUGUAUUCGAUAGUUUGAUAUUAUGAAAAGAAAUACAUUUUAAAUUAAUUGAAUAAGAAAAUUAGGAAAAAGACACACGUUCGGUUUUAACGUUAAAUCUAUCGACAUUAAAAAAAAAUCUGACACUUAUCGUUUCGACUGAUUCGACAAUUUUACCGUUGAAAUCAAAUAGGAGGAUUAGCUCGCGUAAUUGUUUGAUAAAUUGACGAACGAGAACCGACUAAAGAUCGAUCAAAAUCAAAUAAAUUUUUCAAAAUUGUUACGAAUAAUUUCAUAGUAGACUAAUAAACUUCUACACAUUCGAAUAUGAGACCUAGGCCUUUUUUUCCUGUUCCAAAUAUUUUCCACCUACUAAAUUUCAAUGUCGUUCCACCUGUACAGAAAAUGAAAAAUGCUGACUUAUCGUAUUCUUCCUCUGUAACGUUCAUUUGCAACGACUAAAACUAGAGAUGGGACACUCGAUACCCCGAAAUUCUUCGAAACUCCAGACGAAUUUUAUUUCGACUAAUAAUAAUCCAAUUGAAUUUAUAUUUAAAAUCCUUUAAACUCGUUUUAAUUCAUCGAUAAAUAAUUUGAUUUUCCGCGGAAGAUUGUCUAACUUCCUACCAAUUGUAAGAUAAAUAUUUCUUAGAGAUCGAAGAAAAAAAAAUAAACAUUUCGAAUUUGGAGAGUCGCGAGAUCUCAGUUUUGACAAUUUUUCGGAGUCUCAAGGCCCAAAGCAAAUUCAUUCGAGUUUCGCUAUCUAAUCUGAACAUCAGAUUUUGACCCGCCUCUGACUAAGAUCCACCUGAACGAAAUCGACGCAUUUUUAUUAACCUUUCGUUUCGCGAUUAAACAAAUUUCUAAUUAACGGAGAACCCGGUUAACAGGUUAAUUGGGCGUGCCGUGGAAUACGCCAUCGACACAGUGUUCCUGAGAACCUUUUUCUCGAAAAAAGGCGGAAAGUUUGGUAAAGGGAAAAAGAGAAAGAGAUGGGGGGAAAAAAAAGAAAGAAAGAAAAUUAUUUUCUAUGCUCCCGGAUACCUGCACGUACCAAAUAGAUUUCUAUCGAUUUUGAAACUCGGUAUCGAAAUGAUUUUUUUACUCGAUAGCCAUGACAUUGUUAAUUUAAGAUAGACUUUCGUAAUCGUUAUAAUCGCUAAGACGAAAGUGACAUGGAAGCUUUAAGUGAGAGAGAGAGAGAGAGAGAGAAAAAGAGAAUAUGCGAGUGGGAAAUUGGAGAAUCUUUUUUCAAGGUAAUCGAUCGAUGUUGUAGAAACAGUGUCAUUUAAAGUAGUAGAUCGCUUCUACCAAAAAAAAAUAAAUGAAUAAAUAAAUAAAAAUAAGAGUAAAGUAAAAAUAACAUAAAAUAAAAACGAGUCAUCUCGAAGAAAAAAGUAUGAAAAACGGUUUACGUAAUUCGAAAGUCGCGCCAGCCGCGUUGUAGAGAACGCUCGAAGCGGCGCGAGAUUCGAAAUCGACGCGCGAAGCAUCCGCCUUCACGCUCCUUGUCCCUUCUUACGCUCCAUUUUUCUCUUCUUUUUUUCUUUUUCUCUGCUUUCGUUAUUUUUAUUAAUUGUCUCGAUCACGCGUCGAAUCUCGCGUUUCCUUCUAACGUGUCUCCGACUCGCGAGCAAAAUAAACGAUUUUUUAUACAGUAGAAUUAUACCAAUUGUACCACAUAGGAAAGAAAAAAAAAAUAAUGAUGUUCGUUGUUCACUGCUCUGGCUUGCUAGUAACGGCAAAACUCAAUAACCCGGGCCUCUCGGAGGCUGUUCGGACCAGGAGCGGCGCGAAAAUUAGAAAAUGAAACUAAAAGACUGUUGACCAAUAACGAGCGUAAUUCACUUGGAAGAACUUGCUCCGGACAGUCCCCUUCGUGCCCCCUGUAUGAAUCGGCAACAUUUCAACAUUGCAAGAUUAUUGGUGUACUUAUCACGCAGUUUUCUACAAAAUAAAGAAAACAAUUUUGAAAAAAAA